UCCGUAGGGUGCGAGCGUUACUCGGAAUUACUGGGCGUAAAGCGUGCGCAGGCGGUUCGUUGUGUCUGAUGUGAAAGCCCCGGGCUCAACCUGGGAAUGGCAUUGGAAACUGGCGAGCUAGAGUGUGGCAGAGGGGGGUGGAAUUCCGCGUGUAGCAGUGAAAUGCGUAGAUAUCAGGAGGAACACCAGCAGCGAAGGCGGCGCUCUGGGCUGGAACUGACGCUGAGGAGCGAAAGCGUGGGUAGCAAACAGG
rnacentral:rRNA from 1 species